rnacentral:rRNA from 1 species
AUUGAACGCUGGCGGCAGGCCUAACACAUGCAAGUCGAGCGGAUGAAGGGAGCUUGCUCCUGGAUUCAGCGGCGGACGGGUGAGUAAUGCCUAGGAAUCUGCCUGGUAGUGGGGGAUAACGUCCGGAAACGGGCGCUAAUACCGCAUACGUCCUGAGGGAGAAAGUGGGGGAUCUUCGGACCUCACGCUAUCAGAUGAGCCUAGGUCGGAUUAGCUAGUUGGUGGGGUAAAGGCCUACCAAGGCGACGAUCCGUAACUGGUCUGAGAGGAUGAUCAGUCACACUGGAACUGAGACACGGUCCAGACUCCUACGGGAGGCAGCAGUGGGGAAUAUUGGACAAUGGGCGAAAGCCUGAUCCAGCCAUGCCGCGUGUGUGAAGAAGGUCUUCGGAUUGUAAAGCACUUUAAGUUGGGAGGAAGGGCAGUAAGUUAAUACCGUGCUGUUUUGACGUUACCAACAGAAUAAGCACCGGCUAACUUCGUG